AAUUAGGGGGAGGAUUUGAACCUCCAAUACUAAAACCUAAAUCUAGAGCAGUAACCACUUUGCUACCCCAA
rnacentral:tRNA from 1 species